AAGCAAGAGCUGCUCUCCUCAGCAUUUUGCCCAGAGAGAAUUUGGAAGGGUUACUGGACAGGAUUACUACUUAAAAGAGGAAUGUCUCAAACAGUGGGGGUAUGAAGAACAUAUAUAAGAUGGAUCUACUAGUGUGGCUUCUGCCUCCACCGCUUAUGAAAACAACUUCUCUUGACGUCAGCAGUGACUACUGAGCAGCGAUCUGCACUCUUACUCAACUUCUUGAAGCAUUGGACAGAGCUGACUCGUCCCUUUUCUGUCAUAAGAAUCCUGAACAUCAUCAUAAAAAGACAGUCACCAGUCCUGCUCAUCUGGAGGACUGUUCUCACAAUCUUCAGCAAGGAGAUAAAACAGAGUACUGCAGAGAUGAAGUAACUUGCCCUAAGACCCAUACCUGAAUUAACAGCUCUGAAAUUUGAAGGUGCUAGUGUCUCACUGGUCUUAAACUGCGAAGCUGAACGACGAAAGCAUCCUUCCUGUAAUCAGUGUAGCAAAAUGACAGGCAGAGAAACCAUGCUGGGAAGAAGCAAGGUCAUCAGUUGAACCAUCUUGACUUUGGCCCAGAACACAGCUCAGCCUCAACU
rnacentral:lncRNA from 10 species